rnacentral:rRNA from 1 species
GGAGGAAAGUAGGGGAUCGAAAGACCUUAUGCUUUUGGAGCGGCCGAUGUCUGAUUAGCUAGUUGGUAAGGUAAUGGCUUACCAAGGCAACGAUCAGUAGUUGGUCUGAGAGGACGACCAGCCACACUGGGACUGAGACACGGCCCAGACUCCUACGGGAGGCAGCAGUGGGGAAUUUUGGACAAUGGGCGCAAGCCUGAUCCAGCAAUGCCGCGUGAGUGAAGAAGGCCUUCGGGUUGUAAAGCUCUUUCAGUUGAGAAGAAAAGAUUGUGACUAAUAAUUGCAAUUCAUGACGGUAUCAACAGAAGAAGCACCGGCUAACUACGUGCCAGCAGCCGCGGUAGUACGUAGGGUGCGAGCGUUAAUCGGAAUUACUGGGCGUAAAGGGUGCGCAGGCGGUUCUGUAAGUCAGAUGUGAAAUCCCCCC